GGCUGGUUCUGGAAUUUGUAUGAUGCUAUCCACUUGAUUUGGUACCCCUUCAAUCACAUCAGUAGUGAUUGAUUCUUUUUUGUCGUCCUCUUCGACAACCUUUUCUGCUACUUCAGGAGAAGGUUCCACAAUAUUUGCUUGAGGUUCUUCAUUUGAUGAAACUUGUGCAGCAUUUUCAGUGUGGCUAGUUUCCUCCUCUUUGUCAGUUUUCACAAUAUUUGCUUGAGGUUCUUUAUUGUCAUCCUCUUCAACAACCUUUUCUGCUACUACCGGAGAAGGUUCCACAAUAUUUGCUUGAGGUUCUUCAUUUGGUGAAACUGGUGCAGCAUUUUCAGUGUGGAUAGUUUCCUCCUCUUUGUCAGUUUUCUCUUCCUUGAUCGUGUCAUCUGAAGUCCCUUCGCUCUUGGAGAUCUCAAGCACAACUUCAGGAGAAGGUUCCACAAGAUUUGCUAGAGGUUCCUCAUGUGAUGAGACUUGUGCUGCAUCUCUAGUGAGGCUAGCUUCCUCCUCUUUGUCAGUUUUCUCUUCCUUGACCGUGUCAUCUGAAGUUCCUUCACUCUUAGAAGCCUCAAGCACCACUUCAAGAGAAGGUUCCGCAAGAUUUGAUUGAG
rnacentral:lncRNA from 1 species